rnacentral:sRNA from 1 species
UGAUUCUCUGUGUAAGCGAA